rnacentral:rRNA from 1 species
GACGAACGCUGGCGGCGUGCUUAACUCAUGCAAGUCGAACGGUAAGGCCCUUCGGGGUACACGAGUGGCGAACGGGUGAGUAACACGUGGGUGAUCUGCCCUGCACUUCGGGAUAAGCCUGGGAAACUGGGUCUAAUACCGGAUAGGACCACUGCCUACAUGGGUGGUGGUGGAAAGCUUUUGCGGUGUGGGAUGGGCCCGCGGCCUAUCAGCUUGUUGGUGGGGUGAGGGGCUACCAAGGCGACGACGGGUAGCCGGCCUGAGAGGGUGACCGGCCACACUGGGACGAAGAUACGGCCCAGACUCCGACGGGAGGCAGCAGUGGGGAAUAUUGCACAAUGGGCGCAAGCCUGAUGCAGCGACGCCGCGUGAGGGAUGACGGCCUUCGGGUUGUAAACCUCUUUCAGCACCGACGAAGCGCAAGUGACGGUAGGUGCAGAAGAAGGACCGGCCAACUACGUGCCAGCAGCCGCCGUAA